rnacentral:rRNA from 1 species
GACGAACGCUGGCGGCGUGCUUAACACAUGCAAGUCGAACGGAAAGGCUCCAGCUUGCUGGAGUACUCGAGGCGAACGGGUGAGUAACACGUGGGUAAUCUGCCCUGCACUCUGGGAUAAGCCUGGGAAACUGGGUCUAAUACUGGAUAUGACCUUUCUCCUUAUGGGGUUUGGUGGAAAGUUUUUCGGUGUAGGAUGAGCCCGCGGCCUAUCAGCUUGUUGGUGGGGUGAUGGCCUACCAAGGCGACGACGGGUAGCCGGCCUGAGAGGGUGAUCGGCCACAUUGGGACUGAGAUACGGCCCAGACUCCUACGGGAGGCAGCAGUGGGGAAUAUUGCACAAUGGGCGGAAGCCUGAUGCAGCGACGCCGCGUGAGGGAUGACGGCCUUCGGGUUGUAAACCUCUUUCAGCAGGGACGAAGCGUAAGUGACGGUACCUGCAGAAGAAGCACCGGCUAACUAUGUG